UCUGUAGGCGGAUGAGUAAGUUGGGCGUGAAAGCUCCGGGCUUAACCCGGAGAGGCCGUUCAAUACUGCUUGACUAGAGGGCGUGAGAGGGGAGCGGAAUUCCCGGUGUAGCGGUAAAAUGCGCAGAUAUCGGGAGGAACACCAGUGGCGCAGGCGGCCCCCUGGUGCGCACCUGACGCUGAGAGACGAAAGCUAGGGGAGCGAACA
rnacentral:rRNA from 1 species